UGACGCAGCAACGCCGCGUGAAGGAAGAAGGCCUUCGGGUUGUAAASUUCUKUSAUGAGGGACGAAGGAAGUGACGGUACCUCARGAAGCAAGCCACCGGCUAACUACGUGCCAGCAGCCGCGGUAAUACGUAGGGGGCGAGCGUUGUCCGGAAUUACUGGGUGUAAAGGGCGCGUAGGCGGGGAYWUAAGUCAGRUGUGAAAUCYCAUGGCUCAACYGGGGGGMUGCMUCUGAAACURURUUYCUUGAGGGCUGGAGAGGGAAGCGGAAUUCCCUAGUGUAGCGGUGAAAUGCGUAGAUAUUGGGAGGAACACCAGUGGCGAAGGCGGCUUUCUGGACWGKACCUGACGCUGAGGYGCGAAAGCGUGGGGAGCKAACAGGAUUAGAUACCCUGGUAGUCCACGCYGUAAACGAUGGAUACUAGGUGURGGAGGUAUCGACCCCUUCUGUGCCGGAGUWAACACAAUAAGUAUCCCACCUGGGGAGUACGGCCGCAAGGUUG
rnacentral:rRNA from 1 species